GGAGGUAAAUGGAGGUAAAUUAAACACUCCUCACAGAGACAUGGAGGUAAAUGGAGGUAAAUUAAACACUCCUCACAGAGACAUGGAGGUAAAUUAAACACUCCUCACAGAGACAUGGAGGUAAAUGGAGGUAAAUUAAACACUCCUCACAGAGACAUGGAGGUAAAUGGAGGUAAAUUAAACACUCCUCACAGAGACAUGGAGGUAAAUGGAGGUAAAUUAAACACUCCUCACAGAGACAUGGAGGUAAAUGGAGGUAAAUUAAACACUCCUCACAGAGACAUGGAGGUAAAUGGAGG